rnacentral:lncRNA from 1 species
CGCACACAUCUGAAUACAUGCUGACUAAAGGUGAUACCACUUUAACUUGAUGUAUCAUAAUUCCUGUCUCAGCAGUAAAUAUAUCUACUGCCUCAUUAAUUUCUACCACGUCAUUACCCCCGUACUCAUCAUCAUCACUAAUCUCAUCAAUUUCUUUCUGGUGAUACAUCAAGUUGGUAUUAGUUUUCUCAGGUAGCUCAAUUAGGUGCAUCAGGUGGGCAGCCACAGGAAUGCUUUCGGAACUUUUUGAUGCAGCAAUUAGCCCUACCAUGGUACCUACUGACCGAGGUCCAUGAACACAGGUCAGUAGUCGUAGCUCAGAGUCCGGACUUUGUGAUUCAAAAGCUAUGUGCCUGUAUCCUAGGAUAUCACUUUCUCUUCUUACCAUAAAUGUUAUAAUUAGUCCCCAGAUCAAUGAGUUGAGGACAAUGGCUGAUAUCAUCAAGUUGCAGAAUAGAGGAUUUGCCUUCUGCAAA